GGUCUCAUGGUGUAACGGUGAGCACUCUGGACUCUGAAUCCAGCAAUCCGUGUUCAAAUCUCGGUGAGACCU
rfam:Ixodes scapularis strain Wikel colony gcontig_1108379665668, whole genome shotgun sequence.